UGCCAGCAGCCGCGGUAAGACGAAGGUGGCGAGCGUUGUUCGGAAUCAUUGGGCUUAAAGCGCACGUAGGCGGCCUAACAAGUGUCUUGUGAAAUCCCUCGGCUCAACCGAGGAAUUGCUGGGCAUACUGUCAGGCUUGAGGCAGGUAAGGGCGAGUGGAACUCUUGGUGGAGCGGUGGAAUGCGUAGAUAUCAAGAGGAACGCCGGUGGUGAAGACGAUUCGCUGGGCCUGUCCUGACGCUGAGGUGCGAAAGCCAGGGGAGCAAACGGGAUUAGAUACCCCGGUAGUCCUGGCCCUAAACGAUGUCUACUAGGUCGGAGUCACUCUGACGUGCCUCUGGCCGGAAUGAAAACCUUAAGUAGACCGCCUGGGGAGUACGGUCGCAAGGCUAAAACUCAAAGGAAUUGACGGGGGCCCGCACAAGU
rnacentral:rRNA from 1 species